rnacentral:rRNA from 1 species
AACGCGAAGAACCUUACCUGGAUUUGACAUCCUCUGAAGUUAGUAGAGAUAUUAACGGCUCGCAAGAGACAGAGAGACAGGUGCUGCAUGGCUGUCGUCAGCUCGUGUUGUGAAAUGUUGGGUUAAGUCCCGCAACGAGCGCAACCCUUGCCUUUGGUUGCCAUCAUUAAGUUGGGCACUCCAGAGGGACUGCCGUCGUUAAGACGGAGGAAGGUGGGGAUGACGUCAAGUCCUCAUGGCCUUUAUAUCCAGGGCGACACACGUGAUACAAUGGUAGGUACAAAGGGCAGCCAAGUGGUGACACGGAGCAAAUCCCAAAAAGCCUAUCUCAGUUCGGAUUGGAGUCUGCAACUCGACUCCAUGAAGUUGGAAUCGCUAGUAAUCGCGGAUCAGCACGCCGCGGUGAAUACGUUCCCGGGCCUUGUACACACCGUAGUAC